rnacentral:rRNA from 1 species
UUGGUGAGGUAAUGGCUCACCAAGGCGACGACGGGUAGCCGGCCUGAGAGGGCGACCGGCCACACUGGGACUGAGACACGGCCCAGACUCCUACGGGAGGCAGCAGUGGGGAAUAUUGCACAAUGGGCGAAAGCCUGAUGCAGCGACGCCGCGUGAGGGAUGACGGCCUUCGGGUUGUAAACCUCUUUCAGCAGGGAAGAAGCGCAAGUGACGGUACCUGCAGAAGAAGCGCCGGCUAACUACGUGCCAGCAGCCGCGGUAAUACGUAGGGCGCAAGCGUUGUCCGGAAUUAUUGGGCGUAAAGAGCUCGUAGGCGGCUUGUCACGUCGGGUGUGAAAGCCCGGGGCUUAACCCCGGGUCUGCAUUCGAUACGGGCUAGCUAGAGUGUGGUAGGGGAGAUCGGAAUUCCUGGUGUAGCGGUGAAAUGCGCAGAUAUCAGGAGGAACACCGGUGGCGAAGGCGGAUCUCUGGGCCAUUACUGACGCUGAGGAGCGAAAGCGUGGGGAGCGAACAGGAUUAGAUACCCUGGUAGUCCACGCCGUAAACGGUGGGAACUAGGUGUUGGCGACAUUCCACGUCGUCGGUGCCGCAGCUAACGCAUUAAGUUCCCCGCCUGGGGAGUAC